UUCCUACGGGAGGCAGCAGUGAGGAAUAUUGGUCAAUGGCCGCAGGGCUGAACCAGCCAAGUCGCGUGAGGGAUGACGGUCCUAUGGAUUGUAAACCUCUUUUGUCAGGGAGCAAAGGGCGCCACGUGUGGCGUUUUGCGAGUACCUGAAGAAAAAGCAUCGGCUAACUCCGUGCCAGCAGCCGCGGUAAUACGGAGGAUGCGAGCGUUAUCCGGAUUUAUUGGGUUUAAAGGGUGCGUAGGCGGAUUUUUAAGUCAGCGGUAAAAUGUCCGGGCUCAACCCGGGCCGGCCGUUGUAACUGGGGG
rnacentral:rRNA from 1 species